rfam:Clostridium sp. D5 genomic scaffold supercont1.10, whole genome shotgun sequence.
ACAGUACAAACUGAACAGGUUAUGUUACAUAACAGGCCGUAACACAUAACCGGGCCGUCGGACGGCGGCAGCAGAUAAAAAGACAUCUGCGGGACAGUU